CGGAUCCUCUGUCCCGGAUUUCCUGUCCCACUCCAUGUCCCCAUUCCAAACUACACCGUUUUGCAUUUAUAACUUAAUCCCUUCUUUUCUUUUCAUUUUUUUUGGAGAAUCGCAUAAUUCCUUUUUAAUUACCUAAAUUCUGCUUAAUAUCGGCUCGGCUUAGCGCAAAACUUCUUCUCUUUCAAAAACUCUCCCUUCUCAUUCGGAAAUUUUCUAUCUCCACCAAAAAAUGGGGAUUUCGUUCGCGUCACCGGAUUUGGCUAGGGAUAUCUAUCACCAAUUUUACUCUUCUGUCAAUCUUUCGUUCUUCUUCUUCUUCACAAACUGUCAUACUCAAUUUUUGGGGCUUUUACUCUCCCACAAGAAUUAGUUUACUGUGGGAACAUCACGUACGACGUCCAUCAUCGGCGCAAUCGCUAAUACGCCAGUUUUCGUGGAAAUAAAUGAGCCCAUGAAGUCGCUCGAAAUCGACAGACUGAGAGAAGUCGAUUAAGAACUCUAAAAUCAGUUGCACAAAUGAGUAUAUAUACAGUUUAUGUAUUCCUGUUGUAUCAAGAAUUUGACUAUGGCUGCAAAAGCAUGUUUUCUUGUUCUGCGAAUACUUGCAUUCUUUUACCAUUAGUUUAUUGUUUUACUAAUAUUUUUAAAUUUUGUAGUUUGUUUAUCAUUAUGCGUGCACCAUUGCUGAUGAUAAUUUUGAUAUAAAGUUAGAGAGUUGAGAUAUUUAAUCUGCAUUUGAGUUGAAAGUUUUGCUAUUUCAUCAAUUUGUAUUGCUAUUGUUGUAGUUUAUAAGACACAAGUUUUUCCUCUUUGAAAUAGUGAAUGAUGUGCUAGGAAGACCUUUCUUUCUUUUGUUUCAUUUGAAAUAUAAGAGAGAGAUGGGCUGCAUUUGAAUUGAGAAUUGUGAUAUUUCACCAAUAUAUGAAAAUCUACCCUCUAAAAUUUAAGUUGGCUUUUUUAUAGUUGUAUUGAACACUGAAAAAUCUAUUUGUUUUGUUUCAUUUGAAUUUGGAAAGUUGUUUUCUACAACCAGCAGUAAUAAUAUCAAUAGCUGCAACAUCCCUGUUAUCUUUUUCUGGUAAUUGAUUGACAUUUACUAUCUGCGAUGGAAGUCCAAGAACAGGAUUAUGCCUGAUGGUGUGAAUGCUAAGCUUCUUGGAUGUCAUGGACCUUUGGCGCUAAGGCAACCUGGAAGAGCAUUUGUGGAUGCAGCUACUCUGUUAUGAGUUCUAUUGGAGUUUGAAUGUUGCUUUCUGAGUACACUCAAAGAUUUUGUUUUUGUUUAUCUUUAUCAACAUCUUUAUUUCAGACUAGUUAGUUAAUAUGUUGAAUUGUUUUGUAAAUUUGAGGUUGUCACUAUAUUAUUGCCAGCAGCGGCUAUGAACAAGAGUUGAUUUACACAUAUAUCCUAAAUCUGGAAUUUGAUCUGUUUGUA